AGAGUUUGAUCAUGGCUCAGGGUGAACGCUAGCGGCAGGCUUAACACAUGCAAGUCGAGGGGUAGUGGUAGCAAUACCAUGAGACCGGCAAACGGGUGCGGAACACGUACACAAUCUACCUUUAUCUGGGGGAUAGCCCGAAGAAAUUCGGAUUAAUACCCCAUAAAAUAGCAGUCUGGCAUCAGGUAACUAUUAAAGUUCCGGCGGAUAGAGAUGAGUGUGCGUCCCAUUAGCUAGUUGGUAGGGUAACGGCCUACCAAGGCGACGAUGGGUAGCUGGUGUGAGAGCACGACCAGCCACACGGGCACUGAGACACGGGCCCGACUCCUACGGGAGGCAGCAGUGAGGAAUAUUGGUCAAUGGACGCAAGUCUGAACCAGCCAUGCCGCGUGAAGGAUGAAGGCGUUAUGCGUUGUAAACUUCUUUUAUCUGGGAAGAAACCUUAGUAUUCUUACUAAGCCGACGGUACCAGAGGAAUAAGCACCGGCUAACUCCGUGCCAGCAGCCGCGGUAAUACGGAGGGUGCAAGCGUUAUCCGGAUUUACUGGGUUUAAAGGGUGUGUAGGCGGACUUUUAAGUCAGCGGUGAAAUCUCCGGGCUCAACCCGGAAACUGCCAUUGAUACUAUUGGUCUUGAAUAUUGUGGAGGUGGGCGGAACGGGUCAUGUAGCGGUGAAAUGCUUAGAGAUGACCCGGAACACCGAUUGCGAAGGCAGCCCACUACGCAAUGAUUGACGCUGAGGCACGAAAGCGUGGGGAUCAAACAGGAUUAGAUACCCUAGUAGUCC
rnacentral:rRNA from 1 species